UACGGGGGGGGCAAGCGUUGUUCGGAAUUACUGGGCGUAAAGGGCUCGUAGGUGGCCAACUAAGUCAUACGUGAAAUCCCUCGGCUUAACCGGGGAACUGCGUCUGAUACUGGAUGGCUUGAGUUUGGGAGAGGGACGCGGAAUUCCAGGUGUAGCGGUGAAAUGCGUAGAUAUCUGGAGGAACACCGGUGGCGAAGGCGGCAUCCUGGACCAAUAUUGACGCUGAGGAGCGAAAGCCAGGGGAGCAAACGGG
rnacentral:rRNA from 1 species